GAUGAACGCUAGCGGCAGGCAUAAUACAUGCAAGUUGAACGGGAUUCAGAUAGCAAUAUUUGAUGAGAGUGGCGCACGGGUGCGUAACACGUAUGCAACUUACCUUAAACUGGGAGAUAGCCCGUGGAAACAUGGAUUAAUAUCCCAUAGUAUAAAGAACAGGCAUUUGUUUUUUAUUAAAGCUCCGGCGGUUUAAGAUGGGCAUGCGCGUCAUUAGCUAGAUGGAGAGGUAACGGCUCACCAUGGCAACGAUGACUAGGGGGUCUGAGAGGAUGUCCCCCCACACUGGUACUGAGACACGGACCAGACUCCUACGGGAGGCAGCAGUAGGGAAUAUUGGGCAAUGGACGCAAGUCUGACCCAGCCAUGCCGCGUGCAGGAAGACGGCCCUCUGGGUUGUAAACUGCUUUUAUCAGGGAAGAAACCCUUCUACGUGUAGGAGGCUGACGGUACCUGAGGAAUAAGGAUCGGCUAACUCCGUGCCAGCA
rnacentral:rRNA from 1 species